rnacentral:rRNA from 1 species
AAGUCCUCAUGGCCCUUAUGGUAGGGCUUCACACGUCAUACAAUGGUCGGUACAGAGGGUUGCCAACCCGCGAGGGGGAGGCUAAUCCCACAAAGCCGAUCGUAGUCCGGAUCGCAGUCUGCAACUCGACUGCGUGAAGUCGGAAUCGCUAGUAAUCGUGGAUCAGCAUGUCACGGUGAAUACGUUCCCGGGUCCUU